GACGAACGCUGGCGGCGUGCUUAACACAUGCAAGUCGAACGGAAAGGCCCCAGCUUGCUGGGGUACUCGAGUGGCGAACGGGUGAGUAACACGUGGGUAACCUGCCCUGCACUCUGGGAUAAGCCUAGGAAACUGGGUCUAAUACUGGAUAUGACCUUUCUCUUCAUGGGGUGUGGUGGAAAGUUUUUCGGUGUAGGAUGAGCCCGCGGCCUAUCAGCUUGUUGGUGGGGUGAUGGCCUACCAAGGCUAUGACGGGUAGCCGGCCUGAGAGGGUGACCGGCCACAUUGGGACUGAGAUACGGCCCAGACUCCUACGGGAGGCAGCAGUGGGGAAUAUUGCACAAUGGGCGGAAGCCUGAUGCAGCAACGCCGCGUGCGGGAUGACGGCCUUCGGGUUGUAAACCGCUUUCGCCUGGGACGAAGCGUAAGUGACGGUACCGGCAAAAGAAGCACCGGCUAACUACGUG
rnacentral:rRNA from 1 species